CGCGUGGCUCGGUGCGGCGCGUGGCCCGGGGUGCAGCCGGCGGCGUCAUGUCCUGGCUCUUCGGCAUCAACCGCGGCUCGGCCCCGGCGGGCGGCGACGCGGCGCAGGGCGGGGCCGGGCUCUCCCUGCCGCCGGGCCCGGGUGGUGGCGGGCCGGCGGGGAGCGGAGGGGCGGGGGAUCGCAACACGCCCAAGGACAAAUGGAGCAACUUCGACCCCACGGGCCUGGAGCGGGCAGCCAAGGCGGCGAGGGAGCUGGACGCGUCCCGCCACGCGAAGGAUGCGCUCAGCCUGGCCCAGAUGCAAGAGCAAACCCUGCAGCUGGAGCAGCAAACCAAGCUGAAGGAAUACGAAGCUGCCAUAGAACAACUGAAGAAUGAGCAGAUACGGGUACAAGCAGAAGAGAGACGAAAAACACUCAGCGAGGAAACAAAACAGCAUCAAGCACGAGCCCAAUACCAGGACAAAUUAGCACGGCAGCGCUACGAUGAACAGAUGCGACAGCAGCAACUCGCUAAUGAAGAGAAUCUGAGGAAGCAGGAAGAAUCAGUACAGAAGCAAGAAGCCAUGAGGCGUGCCACGAUAGAGCACGAGAUGGAGCUACGGCAUAAGAACGAAAUGCUGCGCGUCGAAGCAGAGGCAAGAGCCCGUGCCAAGGCUGAGAGGGAGAACGCAGACAUCAUUCGGGAGCAGAUCCGCUUAAAAGCUGCUGAGCAUCGCCAGACAGUGCUGGAGUCCCUCAAGACAGCAGGGAUGCUCUUUGGGGAAGGAUUCCGUGCCUUCGUGACAGACUGGGAUAAGGUCACGGCCACGGUGGCUGGCCUAACCCUGCUGGCUGUGGGAGUUUACUCUGCCAAGAAUGCCACUGCAGUAGCAGGACGAUACAUAGAAGCACGUUUGGGUAAACCUUCACUGGUGAGGGAGACCUCACGCAUUACUGUCCUGGAGGCACUGAAGCAUCCUAUCAAGGUUGGUAAGCGUCUCACCAGCAAGGCUCAGGAUGCCCUUGAAGGAGUUGUUCUCAGUCCACAAUUAGAAGCACGUGUGAGAGAUAUUGCCAUAGCAACAAGAAAUACAAAAAAGAACAAAAGCCUAUACCGGAAUAUUCUGAUGUAUGGUCCUCCUGGCACUGGAAAAACACUUUUUGCCAAGAAAUUAGCCGUGCACUCGGGCAUGGAUUACGCCAUCAUGACGGGUGGUGAUGUUGCCCCCAUGGGGCGGGAAGGAGUGACUGCCAUCCAUAAGCUCUUUGACUGGGCAAACACCAGUAGGAGAGGCCUCUUGCUGUUUGUGGAUGAAGCAGACGCAUUUCUGCGGAAGAGAGCCACGGAGAAAAUCAGUGAAGAUCUCAGAGCAACAUUAAAUGCAUUCCUUCACAGAACAGGGCAGCACAGCAACAAGUUUAUGCUUGUUUUAGCAAGCAACCAACCCGAGCAGUUUGACUGGGCUAUCAAUGACAGAAUAGAUGAAAUGGUGAACUUCGAUCUGCCCCAGCUAGAAGAGCGAGAGCGGCUCGUGAGGAUGUAUUUUGAUAGGCAUGUCUUGAAGCCAGCCACAGAGGGCAAACAACGUUUGAAGCUGGCCCAGUUUGACUACGGCAAAAAGUGCUCGGAGAUUGCCAGGCUGACAGAGGGCAUGUCUGGCCGAGAGAUCUCCCAGCUUGCUGUGGCAUGGCAGGUGUCUCAGAGCAGAGCCUUAACCAGUGUCUGGGCAGCAGAGCUGAAUGCACAGGGAGCACCGUGUCAACCUUCAUUCUUCAUUCUGCCAUAGACUUGGCCUUCCCUUUUGUCCUUGUUCUUUUCCAUUCCCCACACCUAAUCCCUGAUGAAUGUAGCACGGAUUGGAUGCAUUUACACACUACAAAAUUGCCUUUGAAUCAGUUACAGAAAUGUGCAGACUUCCCAGUUUUGCACCCUGACCUUAAACCCACUGAUAGGCUUCAGAUAAAACAGCAAAGAAACCCUCCACUUUUCCAAGCCCUCAUUAUAAGAAUGAGGAUCUCUUUCCUGUUUUAUUUUUGACAGGGCUGCUUUCUUUAGAAGUGUGGUUCAAAGGCAACAGCUCAGCUUGUUGGCCAAGUGGGAGCAGGCUUGGGUCUGGGCUGAAAUGAAGCGCUGGGUCGUUCAGGCUGCUCUUGUCAUCUGUGCUCCAUCCUCCUCCUUGCCCCAACACACAUUGUUUUCGGGUUAUUUCAGCACUGGAUUUGAGUUACAAAACACACAUCGUUGCACUGUAGAAAAGGGGUUAAAAUCCAUCCACGCAUGAGGCAGAGGUAUGAAUACAAAUGAACCCAGCACCAUCUCAGUGUGUGCAGCUCCUCCCAGAAGGGACAGCUGCUUCCCCCAUUUGCUUUCUUGACAGCCAGGGCCUGAGGCUUUCUAUAAAUAGAAAGUCAUUGAGAAAAUCAGCGGAGCGUGAACUGCACAGCUUUGCAGGAGUUUCCACGGUCGGAAUUCUGGGCUGUGCAGAGGCAGGGAGGGAGGAGGGCAGGCUCUGUGCAACGCUCAGCCCAGGAGGGGGUGUGGGCAGAGGUUUGGGGCAAAGAGCUGGCUCGUGUCGGGCUGCUUUGCUGGCAUUGCCGUGCCAGGAACGCGUUACGGGGCUGCUCGCAGGAGUGCUGGCACAGGGACUCACCCGAUAUAGAAAUCUGCAGCUUGGUCUUGCGUUGUUACCUUGGAGAUAAGUUGCUCAGCUCACGGUGCCAGCAGCCUCCCCUUCCUUCUGGGCUGCGGGUGCGCGCUGCUGUCUGCACAGAGUGGCACUGGGCUCCCGUGUUCCUCGUGUGCGGACCAGCAGGACAGCCCCUUGCUGCAGGGGAAUGGCACUCAAGGCUUUUACCCUCAUGUGCCACUGGAAGCGUGGGCUGUUCAGCAAGGAUGGAGGUGGUUUUCAGCCCUUUCUGCAAGGAACGGCGUCAAACUCGUGCUGCCCAGCGAAGCAGCAACAGGAGCGAGCGUUGGAUUGAUUCUCAAGCAGAAUCUGAGAGGCUGCAGCGUAUGCCUCAGAGGACGGCGUUCUGACCGAGGCCAUGAUCGAUGCCCGGGUCGCUGACGCUGUGCAGCAGCACAGGCAGAAGAUGGAGUGGCUGAAAGCAGAGGGCACUGAAGCGAGCAAAGAAGGCAUCAG